UGGGGAAUAUUGCACAAUGGGCGCAAGCCUGAUGCAGCCAUGCCGCGUGUGUGAAGAAGGCCUUCGGGUUGUAAAGCACUUUCAGCGAGGAGGAAGGUGGUGGACUUAAUACGUUCAUCAAUUGACGUUACUCGCAGAAGAAGCACCGGCUAACUCCGUGCCAGCAGCCGCGGCAAUACGGAGGGUGCAAGCGUUAAUCGGAAUUACUGGGCGUAAAGCGCNCGCAGGCGGUUUGUUAAGUCAGAUGUGAAAUCCCCGGGNUCAACCUGGGAACUGCAUUUGAAACUGGCAAGCUAGAGUCUCGUAGAGGGGGGUAGAAUUCCAGGUGUAGCGGUGAAAUGCGUAGAGAUCUGGAGGAAUACCGGUGGCGAAGGCGGCCCCCUGGACGAAGACUGACGCUCAGGUGCGAAAGCGUGGGGAGCAAACAGGAUUAGAUACCCUGGUAGUCCACGCUGUAAACGAUGUCGAUUUGGAGGUUGUGCCCUUGAGGCGUGGCUUCCGGAGCUAACGCGUUAAAUCGACCGCCUGGGGAGUACGGCCGCAAGGUU
rnacentral:rRNA from 1 species